UCUAGAACUCGAGAUAUGGGCUGAAAACUAAACAGUGUCUAGGCUGCAGGACAGAUUCUGACUUCUCCGUUGUUGCUAAGAUUUGGAUUUCCAAACAGCAGAAUUGAGUUUUGGACUUCACAUGAAUGUUUUAGGCCUGUGUCUUAGCUUUCUAGC
rfam:Populus trichocarpa scaffold_15_contig_109, whole genome shotgun sequence.